UGUUCGGAUGCGCGCCUUGUCCCGCCGUGGUUCACAAGCAGUUGGCGUAUUUCGGGCGUCAUUUUGAGGAUUUUUUUCCCCUUUGUAAGGCAUUACAACCGGUGAUGGGAGGAGAGCGAAAUGUGCAGUCAGUGUUACCUCCCGCGCUGUGAGCAACGGUUAGGCUGGUGCGACGCAGCUGGCAUAGGCAUUUGUCAGCAGGUGGCCAGAACGGAAUCUUACCGAAGUUGGAUGAGAUUAGUUUUCACGCAUGAAACGCAAGCUGGACGGGA